AGAGUUUGAUCCUGGCUCAGGAUGAACGCUAGCUACAGGCUUAACACAUGCAAGUCGAGGGGCAUCAGGAAGAAAGCUUGCUUUCUUUGCUGGCGACCGGCGCACGGGUGAGUAACACGUAUCCAACCUGCCCUUUACUCGGGGAUAGCCUUUCGAAAGAAAGAUUAAUACCCGAUAGCAUAAUGAUUCCGCAUGGUUUCAUUAUUAAAGGAUUCCGGUAAAGGAUGGGGAUGCGUUCCAUUAGGUUGUUGGUGAGGUAACGGCUCACCAAGCCUUCGAUGGAUAGGGGUUCUGAGAGGAAGGUCCCCCACAUUGGAACUGAGACACGGUCCAAACUCCUACGGGAGGCAGCAGUGAGGAAUAUUGGUCAAUGGGCGCUAGCCUGAACCAGCCAAGUAGCGUGAAGGAUGAAGGCUCUAUGGGUCGUAAACUUCUUUUAUAUAAGAAUAAAGUGCAGUAUGUAUACUGUUUUGUAUGUAUUAUAUGAAUAAGGAUCGGCUAACUCCGUGCCAGCAGCCGCGGUAAUACGGAGGAUCCGAGCGUUAUCCGGAUUUAUUGGGUUUAAAGGGAGCGUAGGUGGACUGGUAAGUCAGUUGUGAAAGUUUGCGGCUCAACCGUAAAAUUGCAGUUGAUACUGUCAGUCUUGAGUACAGUAGAGGUGGGCGGAAUUCGUGGUGUAGCGGUGAAAUGCUUAGAUAUCACGAAGAACUCCGAUUGCGAAGGCAGCUCACUGGACUGCAACUGACACUGAUGCUCGAAAGUGUGGGUAUCAAACAGGAUUAGAUACCCUGGUAGUCCACACAGUAAACGAUGAAUACUCGCUGUUUGCGAUAUACAGUAAGCGGCCAAGCGAAAGCAUUAAGUAUUCCACCUGGGGAGUACGCCGGCAACGGUGAAACUCAAAGGAAUUGACGGGGGCCCGCACAAGCGGAGGAACAUGUGGUUUAAUUCGAUGAUACGCGAGGAACCUUACCCGGGCUUAAAUUGCAGUGGAAUGAUGUGGAAACAUGUCAGUGAGCAAUCACCGCUGUGAAGGUGCUGCAUGGUUGUCGUCAGCUCGUGCCGUGAGGUGUCGGCUUAAGUGCCAUAACGAGCGCAACCCUUAUCUUCAGUUACUAACAGGUCAUGCUGAGGACUCUGGAGAGACUGCCGUCGUAAGAUGUGAGGAAGGUGGGGAUGACGUCAAAUCAGCACGGCCCUUACGUCCGGGGCUACACACGUGUUACAAUGGGGGGUACAGAAGGCAGCUAGCGGGUGACCGUAUGCUAAUCCCAAAAUCCUCUCUCAGUUCGGAUCGAAGUCUGCAACCCGACUUCGUGAAGCUGGAUUCGCUAGUAAUCGCGCAUCAGCCACGGCGCGGUGAAUACGUUCCCGGGCCUUGUACACACCGCCCGUCAAGCCAUGGGAGCCGGGGGUACCUGAAGUACGUAACCGCAAGGAUCGUCCUAGGGUAAAACUGGUGACUGGGGCUAAGUCGUAACAAGGUAGCCGUACCGGAAGGUGCGGCUGGAACACCU
rnacentral:rRNA from 1 species